rnacentral:rRNA from 1 species
UGACCGCUAGCUACAGGCUUACCACAUGCAAGUCGCGGGGCAGCAUGGGGGUUGCUUGCAAUCCCCGAUGGCGACCGGCGCACGGGUGAGUAACGCGUAUCCAACCUGCCCUUCACCACGGGAUAACCCGGCGAAAGUCGGACUAAUACCGUAUGUUGUCCAUUGACGGCAUCCGAUUUGGACGAAAGGCUUGGCGGUGAGGGAUGGGGAUGCGUCCGAUUAGCCAGACGGCGGGGUAACGGCCCACCGUGGCUACGAUCGGUAGGGGUUCUGAGAGGAAGGUCCCCCACACUGGAACUGAGACACGGUCCAGACUCCUACGGGAGGCAGCAGUGAGGAAUAUUGGUCAAUGGGCGUAAGCCUGAACCAGCCAAGUAGCGUGCAGGAUGACGGCCCUAUGGGUUGUAAACUGCUUUUAUGCGGGGAUAAAGUGGCCCACGUGUGGGCUUUUGCAGGUACCGCAUGAAUAAGGACCGGCUAAUUCCGUG